GGCGGCAUGCCUUACACAUGCAAGUCGAACGGCAGCAUAGGAGCUUGCUCCUGAUGGCGAGUGGCGAACGGGUGAGUAAUAUAUCGGAACGUGCCCUAGAGUGGGGGAUAACUAGUCGAAAGAUUAGCUAAUACCGCAUACGAUCUACGGAUGAAAGUGGGGGAUCGCAAGACCUCAUGCUCUUGGAGUGGCCGAUAUCUGAUUAGCUAGUUGGUGGGGCAAAAGCUCACCAAGGCGACGAUCAGUAGCUGGUCUGAGAGGACGACCAGCCACACUGGAACUGAGACACGGUCCAGACUCCUACGGGAGGCAGCAGUGGGGAAUUUUGGACAAUGGGGGCAACCCUGAUCCAGCAAUGCCGCGUGAGUGAAGAAGGCCUUCGGGUUGUAAAGCUCUUUUGUCAGGGAAGAAACGGUGAGGGCUAAUAUCCCUUGCUAAUGACGGUACCUGAAGAAUAAGCACCGGCUAACUACGUGCCAGCAGCCGCGGUAAUACGUAGGGUGCAAGCGUUAAUCGGAAUUACUGGGCGUAAAGCGUGCGCAGGCGGUUGUGCAAGACAGAUGUGAAAUCCCCGGGCUCAACCUGGGAAUUGCAUUUGUGACUGCACGGCUAGAGUGUGUCAGAGGGGGGUAGAAUUCCACGUGUAGCAGUGAAAUGCGUAGAGAUGUGUAGGAAUACCGAUGGCGAAGGCAGCCCCCUGGGAUAACACUGACGCUCAUGCACGAAAGCGUGGGGAGCAAACAGGAUUAGAUACCCUGGUAGUCCACGCCCUAAACGAUGUCUACUAGUUGUUGGGUCUUAAUUGACUUGGUAACGCAGCUAACGCGUGAAGUAGACCGCCUGGGGAGUACGGUCGCAAGAUUAAAACUCAAAGGAAUUGACGGGGACCCGCACAAGCGGUGGAUGAUGUGGACUAAUUCGAUGCAACGCGAAAAACCUUACCUACCCUUGACAUGUCCGGAAUCCCUGANAGAUCAGGGAGUGCUCGAAAGAGAAUCGGAACACAGGUGCUGCAUGGCUGUCGUCAGCUCGUGUCGUGAGAUGUUGGGUUAANUCCCGCAACGAGCGCAACCCUKGUCAUUAGUUGCUACAUUUAGUUGGG
rnacentral:rRNA from 1 species